CACUUCUAAGGAAGGCAGCAGGCGCGCAAAUUACCCAAUCCUGACUCAGGGAGGUAGUGACAAGAAAUAACAAUAAACCGGCUUAUGCCGGUUUAAUUGGAAUGAGUACAAUUUAAACAUCUUAACGAGGAACAAUUGGAGGGCAAGUCUGGUGCCAGCAGCCGCGGUAAUUCCAGCUCCAAUAGCGUAUACUAAAGUUGUCGCAGUUAAGAAGCUCGUAGUUGGAUUUCUGUGGGGACGGAGCGGCCGGCCGCAACACGCGGUUCGAGCUAGCGCUUUCCCUACAUCCUGCCGCGAACCGUGCUACCAUUAGUUUGGUGGCGCCGGGGAUCGGCUCGAUUACUUUGAGAAAAAUAGAGUGUUCAAAGCAGGCCACACGCCUUGAAUAAGUUAGCAUGGAAUAAUAACUAAGGACUUCGGUUCUAUUUUGUUGGUGUUCGGGACUGAAGUAAUGAUUGAUAGGGACAGUUGGGGCGGUCUGUAUUCCAAAGCGAGAGGUGAAAUUCUUAGACCUUCGGAAGACAAACAGCUGCGAAAGCGUUCCGCAAGGAUGUUCCCUUUGAUCAAGAACGAAAGUUGGGGGAUCGAAGACGAUCAGAUACCGUCGUAGUCUCAACUAUAAACUAUACCAGCUAGGGAUCGGCCAACGUUAUUCUAUACCGACUUGGUCGGCACCUUAUGAGAAAUCAAAGCAUCUGGGUUCCGGGGGGAGUAUGGUCGCAAGGCUGAAACUUAAAGGAAUUGACGGAAGGGCACCACCAGCCGUGGAGCCUGUGGCUUAAUUUGACUCAACACGGGAAAACUUACCAGGUCCAGACAUAGUAAGGAUUGACAGAUUGAUAGCUCUUUCUUGAUUCUGUGGGUGGUGGUGCAUGGCCGUUCUUAGUUGGUGGAGUGAUUUGUCUGGUUAAUUCCGUUAACGAACGAGACCCCAGCCUGCUAAAUAGCGCGCGUGAGCUUUGCUCGCGGCGAGCUUCUUAGAGGGACUAUGAUGCGCGAUAGCACAUGGAAGUUUGGGGCAAUAACAGGUCUGUGAUGCCCUUAGAUGUUCUGGGCCGCACACGGGCUACACUGGCGCCUGCAACGAGCAUAUCAGCUGGCCCGAGAGGGUCUUGGCUAAUCUUUUGAACCGGCGCCGUGCUUGGGAUUGACCUUUGCAAUUGUUGGUCAUGCAACGAGGAAUGCCUUGUAAACGCGAGUCAUCAGCUCGCAUUGAAUACGUCCCUGCCCUUUGUACACACCGCCCGUCGCUCCUACCGAUGAAUGUUCCGAUGAAAUUUUCGGAGAGUGCCUGUGAACUUGGCUCUGCCUUGCGAACGGGAAGCUCAAAGUCACUUAAAUCUGAACAUUUCGA
rnacentral:rRNA from 1 species